GUUUCACUUCCGUUUAUUUAUUCCUUUUACAAAAUUAUUUGUCAUAGGUGAGGUUGCUUUCAUUACAUUCUCCACUACAGUAAAUCUAAGUUAAAAUGGGCGUAAAGAUAUACAUAUGGGCAGCGGGAGGUGGAAAUGUAGGUCAUGGAUCGAUGACCCUAGGCGAUGGAACCAAUAUCAGCUGGUGGCCCAAGGAAGACAAAGCGAAAUCUGCACACCAAAAUUGGAAAUCAGUGGAAGCUGAACCAGCAAAUUCGUAUCAACAAGAUGUUGAAUGGGAAGGUAAACCAGCUGAUUUCAUAUACGAAAUUCCUUCUGGAAAACUUGACGAGGCAGCUAUUAAAACAUGGUGGAAUGAGUUCAAAACAACCAACAAGUAUCACAUUGCUUUUAAGAAUUGUUGCAGUGCCGUUUACAGCGCCUUGAAGAUAGGUGGGGCUGAAAAAAUAGUGCCGUUCCCAGGGUCUCUUAUUUCAACACCAGCAAAUUUGAAGGAAUACGCAGAGAAACUACAUAAAGCUACAAGAUAACAAACAUAAAAAACAAAGGAAAAGGAACACGUCUGACUUUUCAUAACCAAAAGUCAGCAUAUGAUAUCGUUUUAUCAUAAAAGUGUUACUUGUUACCUGUUAUCUUGAUUAACUCCGCUUUAAAGUAUUUAAAAAUUGCUUUGAUUUAUUUAUUAAGAAAACUGACAUGAUUGGUAUUCAUUCAAAGCAUAGUGGAUAAUUUUGAAUGUUCUUUCUGUUGUUCAACUAUUGACGCAGUGUUAACUAUUUUUAUCAAGUUACGGGACAUCACCAGGUUUAACCUCAAUUCUAAUCCAGUUGACCUUAUGUCAUUUCCAAAUUAAUAGCAUUUGGUAAGUCACUUCGUUUUGUUUUCUGUUAUGACACAGAAAAAAAAUUCCUUCAAUAGUGGACAAACUGGAGAGUGAUGAACAAACGAGGCUUACAUUUAUUUUACUCUUCUUAAUUUACAAAAACAAUUUGAUUUUUAUACUGCUAUGAUUUAAUACUCUAAUAAAUCUAAAAUGAAAUAGAA